GUAGGUGAACCUGCGGAAGGAUCAUUACAAUAAUUGAAUUAUGUUAUAAUUAUUAUAGCAUUAUAUAUCCAAGGGUGCGAUACUAAAAAUUAUCUAACAUUUUUUUUACAAAAAACCAAAAACACAAAACCCACAAAAAUAGAAAAAGAACCAAAAAACCAAAAAAUAGAGUAAAAAAAACAACAACAACUCUAGGCAAUGGAUAUCUUGGUUCCC
rnacentral:misc_RNA from 1 species